GAUGAACGCUGGCGGCGUGCUUAACACAUGCAAGUCGAACGGAAAGGCCCAAGCUUGCUUGGGUACUCGAGUGGCGAACGGGUGAGUAACACGUGGGUGAUCUGCCCUGCACUUCGGGAUAAGCCUGGGAAACUGGGUCUAAUACCGGAUAGGACCACAUUUUGGAUGGUGUGGUGGAAAGUUUUUCGGUGUGGGAUGAGCUCGCGGCCUAUCAGCUUGUUGGUGGGGUAAUGGCCUACCAAGGCGUCGACGGGUAGCCGGCCUGAGAGGGUGUACGGCCACAUUGGGACUGAGAUACGGCCCAGACUCCUACGGGAGGCAGCAGUGGGGAAUAUCGCACAAUGGGCGCAAGCCUGAUGCAGCGACGCCGCGUGGGGGAUGACGGCCUUCGGGUUGUAAACUCCUUUCGCUAGGGACGAAGCGUUUUUGUGACGGUACCUGGAGAAGAAGCACCGGCUAACUACGUG
rnacentral:rRNA from 1 species